rnacentral:rRNA from 1 species
UACAGAGGGUGCAAACGUUGUUCGGAAUUACUGGGCGUAAAGCGCGUGUAGGCGGCCCUGUAAGUCGGAUGUGAAAUCCCACGGCUCAACCGUGGAAGUGCAUUCGAAACUACAGGGCUAGAGUCCUGGAGAGGAAGGUGGAAUGCUUGGUGUAGAGGUGAAAUUCGUAGAUAUCAAGCGGAACACCGGUGGCGAAGGCGGCCUUCUGGACAGUGACUGACGCUGAGACGGCGAAAGCGUGGGGAGCAAACAGG